rnacentral:piRNA from 1 species
UGUGUGGAGGUGUAGGUGU